rnacentral:lncRNA from 1 species
UUUUUUUUUCUUUUCUUUUUUCUUCCCUUUCCUUCCUUUCUUUUUGGUUUAGAGAAGCCCUUUCAGUAUUUCUUUUAACUUGGGUUUUGUGUUGCUGUAUUCUUUUAGUUUUUGUUUGUUGGAAAAAAUUUUUAUUUCCCCUUCUAUUUUAAAUGAUAUUCUUGCUGGAUAGAGUAUUCUAGGUUGCAUAUUUUUUCCUUUUAGCACUUUAAAUAUCUCUUGCCCUUCCCUCCUGGCCUGUAGUGUUUCUGUAGAGAAAUCAGCUGAUAAUCUUAUGGGGGUUCCCUUGUAGGUAACAUUCUGCUUUUCUCUUGCUGCCCUUAGGAUCCUCUCUCUAUCACUAACUUUUGCCAUUUUUAUUAUGAUGUGUCUUGGUGUGGGUCUAUUUGGGUUCAAUUUGUUUGGGGCCCUCUGUACUUCCUGUAUCUUGAACCCAGUAUCCUUUAGAUUUGGGAAGUUUCCAGUGAUAAUUUCUUCAAAUAUAUUUUCCGCCCUUAUCUUUUUCUACUCCUUCUGGAAGUUAUGCAAUGCGUAGAUUGGCCCGCUUUAUAUUAUCCCAUAGGUCUCUUAUAUUGCUUUCCAGUUUUUUGAUUCGGUUUUCUGUCUGUUGACCAGAUUGAGUGAUUUCCAUUAUUCUAUCUUCCAUAUCACUGAUUCGUUCUUCUGCAUUAUUCAUUCUGGUUUUUACUGCCCCUAGUUCAGUUUGCAUCUCUGCAAAUGAAUGUUCUAGUUUUUCUUGGCUCCUCCUUAUAUUUUCUAGUUCCUUUCUGAGGGUAUCUGCAUUACUGUUCAUAUCUUCUCUUAAUUCCUUCAGUAUUUUCACUAUUUCUCUUUUGAACUCCAGGUCUGUCAGACUGCAGAGAUCUGUUUCAUUGUUGACUGUUUUAGGUGAAUUCUCCUGUUGGUUUGACUGGGGGUGGUUUCUCAGCUUCUUCAUCUUGCUUGUUGUUUUCUUUUUCCUGAGGGAGCUGUACUCUCCGUGACCGGGCAGUGUUUGCCUUGUCACUGCCGUGGAAUGUUUCCUGUGGGCUGGUGUUGGUCAGUCUUUUUUGAGGCAGUGUGGCUUUUCUGGAGUGUUGAUGGGGCUAACAGGGUCUCUUUGAAGCAAAGGAGGACUUCCUGAGGGCAAACAGGACUGGGAGGUCCACACCACGAUGGUAGCGGAUUUCACUCAGACCAGAGGUUGCUCUGGUGUUUUUAGGCUGUGGGGUUCUUGCAGGGGGUUGGCGGUGUUGGGCAGCUGUUCCUCAGGAGUGCAGCACCCCCUGGGGGCUGUAUCAGCUAUCUGGGUCACUGAGAACCCAAGAGGCUCUUCCCUAGGGCAGCCCAACUCAGAAGGAUGGCCUGAGAAUGUAGGCAGAUCUUUUCACAGUCUGGCCAAGCUUGUUGUAGCUUUUCUGGGCUGCAGGGGCUGGCAGUCCUAUGCAACUGGUCCACGAGAGCUUGGCACCCCCUGAGGGCUUUGGCAGCUAGCUGGGCCACUCCCAACCCAAGAGGCUCCUCCCCAGGGCAGCCCAACUCAGAAAGACCGUCCGAGAAUUAGGCAGAUCUUUUCAUGGCCUGGCUAGUCUUGUUCUAGCUUUUCUGGGCUGCAGGCCUUUUCUCAGGGGCUGGUGGUGUUUGGUGCUGCUCUGCGGGGGUGUAGCCCCUCCAAAGGGCAAGCAGGCCUGUGCAG